rnacentral:misc_RNA from 1 species
CUCCCCAAUUUGAGAAGUAAUCCUCUGCUUCCAUAACCAUCUGAUCCACGUAGCCUUUGAGUUUGUUGACCCUCAGAGACUCUGUAAAGAAGCGGAACUGCUCUUGUCGCACGGUGUAAUCGACAUCAAACACAACACCUGGGCCAAAUGUAGGCACAUUGAACUGAUAUACCUCCUGCUGGCUAAGGUCUGCCUCUGGGGCCUUGAAGAAGUGAGCUGAUACCUCAGGCCCAAUCAAGAAAGUAAUCUUCCAGUGAGCUAGGUUCACAGUGAAAACACUACCAAGCUUUGGAAGCAUUACAAUCGGGCCUUUCAAGAAGCGGAAUAACCCUCCAACCACUGGCCAACCGCUCACAACUGGAGGCAGACGUUUUCUAGAUCUAGGCAUAACAAAGGCGGAGAUAAGCUUGGGCACUAUGGCCACGAUGAGGACACCCAUAUUGAGGAGCUUGUUAUCAGAAUCCAUGGCGAUUACGGCGAAGAAUACAGAUUUGAAACUAAAUAACUGAUAUUGUGAUUGAGAUGCAGAGAGAUCAGCGAUGGAAAAUGAAGAUGGAGAUAACAAAGCGGAUCAUGUGAACUAGGAAUGGCAUCUCUCUCACAGUUGCUAUUACUACUAAUCAAGAG